CCCUCUCUCAGGUUCUAGCACGGCCCUCGGAAUGGCUAGAACUUUUUAAGGCGUCACGGUCACGUGACGCCUUUUUUU
rfam:Paraburkholderia phenazinium strain GAS95 genome assembly, contig: Ga0132017_12